UAGUAUUUUCGAGGGAUCGCUUGGCUGUGUCGACGUAAGAACGCAGCAGAGUGCGAUAAUGAGCGCAGUGAGCAAUCGCUGGUUCGUGUUCACGACAACUCUCUGAACUUAAGCAUAUCAAUAAGAGAAG
rnacentral:rRNA from 1 species